UACAGAGGUCUCAACCGUUGUUCGGAUUCAUUGGGCGUAAAGGGUGCGUAGGCGGUCGCGCAAGUCGGAUGUGAAAUCUCAGGGCUCAACCCUGAAACUGCAUUCGAUACUGCGUGGCUAGAAUGCUGGAGAGGAGACUGGAAUUUACGGUGUAGCAGUGAAAUGCGUAGAUAUCGUAAGGAAGACCAGUGGCGAAGGCGAGUCUCUGGACAGCAACUGACGCUGAGGCACGAAGGCCAGGGGAGCAAACGGG
rnacentral:rRNA from 1 species